CCCCCUGAAGGGACGUUGAAGACGACGACGUUGAUAGGCCGGGUGUGUAAGCGCAGCGAUGCGUUGAGCUAACCGGUACUAAUGACCCGUGAGGCUUAACCUUACAACGCCACAGGCGUUUUG
rnacentral:rRNA from 1 species